GAUGAAGAACGCAGCGAAAUGCGAUACGUAAUGUGAAUUGCAGAAUUCAGUGAAUCAUCGAGUCUUUGAACGCACAUUGCGCCCCCUGGUAUUCCGGGGGGCAUGCCUGUCCGAGCGUCAUUGCUGCCCUCAAGCACGGCUUGUGUGUUGGGCCUCCGUCCUCCUCCCGGGGGACGGGCCCGAAAGGCAGCGGCGGCACCGCGUCCGGUCCUCGAGCGUAUGGGGCUUCGUCACCCGCUCUUGUAGGCCCGGCCGGCGCUUGCCGACACAUCAAUCUUUUUUCCAGGUUGACCUCGGAUCAGGUAGGGAUACCCGCUGAACUUAAGCAUAUCAAUAAUCGGAGGA
rnacentral:misc_RNA from 1 species